rnacentral:rRNA from 1 species
AGAGUGAACGCUGGCGGCGUGCCUAAUACAUGCAAGUCGAACGCGAAAGUCCUUCGGGAUGAGUAAAGUGGCGCACGGGUGAGUAAUGGUUGAGAACAUGCCCUGAGGUGGGGAAUAACAGUUGGAAACGACUGCUAAUACCGCAUGGUAACGCAAGUUUAAAGGUGGGGAUCGCAAGACCUACCGCCACAGGAUUGGCUCAACUCCCAUUAGCUAGUUGGUAGGUAACGGCCUACCAAGGCGACGAUGGGUAACUGGUCUUAGAGGAUGAUCAGUCACACUGGAACUGAGACACGGUCCAGACUCCUACGGGAGGCAGCAGUAGGGAAUAUUGCACAAUGGAGGCAACUCUGAUGCAGCAACGCCGCGUGAGUGAAGAAGGCCGUUGGCGUAAAGCUCUUUAGCCGUAGGAAGAAGUGUUCAUGAGUAAACAAUUCAUGGAUGUGACGGUACCAGGAGAAUAAGGACCGUAUAAGUUUCGUAGCCAGCAGCCGUA